rnacentral:rRNA from 1 species
UUUGUUGCCAGCGAGGUAAAUGUCGGGAACUCAAAGGAGACUGCCGGUGAUAAACCGGAGGAAGGUGGGGAUGACGUCAAGUCAUCAUGGCCCUUACGAGUAGGGCUACACACGUGCUACAAUGGCAUGUACAAAGAGAAGCGAACUCGCGAGAGCAAGCGGACCUCAUAAAGUAUGUCGUAGUCCGGAUUGGAGUCUGCAACUCGACUCCAUGAAGUCGGAAUCGCUAGUAAUCGUAGAUCAGAAUGCUACGGUGAAUACGUUCCCGGGCCUU